rnacentral:rRNA from 1 species
CGGCGGACGGGUGAGUAACACGUGAGUAACCUGCCUUAGACAUAGGGAUAGCCUCGGGAAACCGGGAUUAAUACCAAAUGAAAUCACAUAUGCACAUGCAUAAAUGAUCAAAGCUCCGGCGGUCUAAGAUGGACUCGCGUCCCAUUAGCUAGUUGGUGAGGUAACGGCCCACCAAGGCGACGAUGGGUAGCCGGCCUGAGAGGGUGAACGGCCACAUUGGAACUGAGAAACGGUCCAAACUCCUACGGGAGGCAGCAGCC